GAAAGGAUCAUAAAUUUUAUUACCAGCAUGAUGGACUGUCUGCAAUUUUUCUAAAAGGAGGCUUUGAAAUUAUGCAGUAAAAUUCCGAAAGAUAAUAUUAAUAAUAAUCAGAUACGGGUAUACUCAAUGAUAAUUGAAAACCCAUUGAUAUUUGAAGUUUCAUCUGAUUUCAAUAAAAUCCAUUUAGUAUACUUAUUCUAAGAGUACCAUGCAUAACCUUUAGUAAUUAAU
rnacentral:misc_RNA from 1 species